rnacentral:rRNA from 1 species
AGUCGACGAUGAAUCUUCUAGCUUGCUAGAAGUGGAUUAGUGGCGCACGGGUGAGUAAUGCAUAGGUUAUGUGCCCUUUAGUCUGGGAUAGCCACUGGAAACGGUGAUUAAUACUGGAUACUCCCUACGGGGGAAAGUUUUUCGCUAAAGGAUCAGCCUAUGUCCUAUCAGCUUGCUGGUGAGGUAAUGGCUCACCAAGGCUAUGACGGGUAUCCGGCCUGAGAGGGUGAUCGGACACACUGGAACUGAGACACGGUCCAGACUCCUACGGGAGGCAGCAGUAGGGAAUAUUGCUCAAUGGGGGAAACCCUGAAGCAGCAACGCCGCGUGGAGGAUGAAGGUUUUAGGAUUGUAAACUCCUUUUGUUAGAGAAGAUUAUGACGGUAUCUAACGAAUAAGCACCGGCUAACUCCGUGCCAGCAGCCGCGGUAAUACGGAGGGUGCAAGCGUUACUCGGAAUCACUGGGCGUAAAGAGUGCGUAGGCGGGGUAAUAAGUCAGAUGUGAAAUCCUGUAGCUUAACUACAGAACUGCAUUUGAAACUGUUACUCUGGAGUGUGGGAGAGGUAGGUGGAAUUCUUGGUGUAGGGGUAAAAUCCGUAGAGAUCAAGAGGAAUACUCAUUGCGAAGGCGACCUGCUGGAACAUUACUGACGCUGAUGCACGAAAGCGUGGGGAGCAAACAGGAUUAGAUACCCUGGUAGUCCACGCCCUAAACGAUGGAUGCUAGUUGUUGCCUUGCUUGUCAGGGCAGUAAUGCAGCUAACGCAUUAAGCAUCCCGCCUGGGGAGUACGGUCGCAAGAUUAAAACUCAAAGGAAUAGACGGGGACCCGCACAAGCGGUGGAGCAUGUGGUUUAAU